rnacentral:rRNA from 1 species
AUUCCAAUCGAACUCGGAGAUAGCUGGUUCUCCUCGAAAUAGCUUUAGGGCUAGCCUUGAGGUAAAGUCUAAUGGAGGUAAAGCACUGAUUGGACGCGGGUCCCCAAAAGGAUACCAACUUCUAUCAAACUCAGAAUGCCAUAUAGAUAUACUCAGGAGUCAGACUAUGUGAGAUAAGUUUCAUAGUCAAAAGGGAAAGAGCCCAGACCGACAGCUAAGGUCCCAAAGUGUGUGUUAAGUGGAAAAGGAUGUUAGGUUUCUAAGACAACUAGGAUGUUGGCUCAGAAGCAGCCACUCAUUUAAAGAGUGCGUAACAGCUCACUAGUCGAGAGGUCUAGCGCCGAAAAUGUCCGGGGCUAAAACACACCACCGAAGCUACGGAAUUACCUAUGGUAAUUGGUAGAGGAGCAUUCUGUAAGGAUGAAGCACAAUUGAAAGAGAGUGUGGACGAAACAGAAGAGAGAAUGCCGGAAUGAGUAGCGAGAUAUAUGUGAGAAUCAUAUAGGUCGAAUGUCUAAGGUUUCCUGGGUAAAGCUGAUCUGCUCAGGGUAAGUCGGGACCUAAGGUGAGGGCGAGAGCCGUAAUCGAUGGACAACAGGUAGAAAUUCCUGUACUACGUAUAAUCAGAACUGUGGGGACGCAGGAGGAUAGGAAAACCGGAGAAUGGAAAAAUCCGGCUAAGUACAAAGGUGUGAGUGAUAGGCAAAUCCGUCACUAUUAGCUGAAGUACGAAUGGGAGCGAAGAAAAGUAGCGAAGUUUCUGAAUCCACACUGUCAAGAAAAGCCGCUAUUGCGUUAUACGUACCCGUACCGCAAACCGACACAGGUAGACGAGGAGAAAAUCCACAGACCGACGGGAGAAGUGUUGUUAAGGAACUCGGCAAAAUGACCCCGUAACUUAGGGAUAAGGGGAGCCAACGCAAGUUGGUCACAGAAAAGAGGCUCAAGCGACUGUUUAGCAAAAACAUAGGUCUAUGCGAAACCGUAAGGUGAUGUAUAUGGGCUGACACCUGCCCGGUGCUGGAAGGUCAAAAGGAGAGGUUAGCGUAAGCGAAGCUUUGAAUUCAAGCCCCAGUAAACGGCGGCCGUAACUAUAACGGUCCUAAGGUAGCGAAAUUCCUUGUCAGGUAAGUUCUGACCCGCACGAAAGGUGUAACGAUUUGAGCACUGUCUCGACAACACGCCCGGUGAAAUUGAAGAACCAGUGAAGAUACUGGUUACCCGCAACAGGACGGAAAGACCCCAUGGAGCUUUACUGCAGCUUAAUAUUGGGAUUCGGUAUUGUAUGUACAGGAUAGGAGGGAGACUAAGAAGCUAGCACGCCAGUGUUGGUGGAGUCGAUGGUGGGAUACCUCUCUUAUAAUACUGAAUUUCUAACCUACUUCCGUGAUCCGGAAGAGGGACAUUGUUAGGCGGGCAGUUUGACUGGGGCGGUCGCCUCCGAAAGAGUAACGGAGGCGCUCAAAGGUCUUCUCAGAAUGAUUGGAAACCAUUCAAAGAGUGUAAAGGCAAAAGAAGGCUUGACUGCGAGAGUGACAACUCGAGCAGGUACGAAAGUAGGACUUAGUGAUCCGGUGGUAACAAGUGGGAGUGCCAUCGCUUAACGGAUAAAAGCUACCCUGGGGAUAACAGGCUUAUCUCCCCCAAGAGUUCACAU